GAUGAAGAACGCAGCGAAAUGCGAUAAGUAGUGUGAAUUGCAGAAUUCAGUGAAUCAUCGAAUCUUUGAACGCACAUUGCGCCCUUUGGUAUUCCUUAGGGCAUGCCUGUUCGAGCGUCAUUCAAACCUUCAAGCUAAGCUUGGUGUUGGGUGACUGUCCGCUUCACUGCGGACUCGCCUCAAAAUUAUUGGCGGCCGGUACAUUGGCUUCGAGCGCAGCAGAAACGCGAACUCGGGCCCGUCGUAUUGGCUCCCAGAAGCUAUCUUCACAAUUUUGACCUCGGAUCAGGUAGGGAUACCCGCUGAACUUAAGCAUAUCAAUAAGCGGAGGA
rnacentral:misc_RNA from 1 species